rfam:Schistosoma curassoni strain Dakar, Senegal genome assembly, scaffold: SCTD_scaffold0000603
AUCCAGCUGAAGAAUCCUAAAUAGAACGAAACGUGAGUCUUGGAU